AGAAUCGUUCUAAAAAGAUGGAAUGCUUCACAAAACAAUCGUUAAAAUCAGCACAGAAACAUCUCACCUCUGUGAGCAUUCAAGUACAGGAAUGCAGGUCAGUGAGGAGCAGACAAUGCUGUCGGCUUGUAAACACAGUGCAGUUUCUUGUUAUAAUUACAGCUCCUCUCUUCUCCAGAAUAAAACGUCUGGAUGUAUUCCAAGGAACAAUCUUGGAAGAGAUUGAGAACUUUGAAAAGGAUUCACUGGCUCUAAAAAAUAUGGAGAACGAGUUCACAGUAAGAUGUGAUUAAACUAGAACUUACUCCUUGAGCUGGAAUAUGCUGCACAGUAUGAAGUACAAAUAAAAUCCAAAUAUUUAU